rnacentral:rRNA from 1 species
GACGAACGCUGGCGGCGUGCUUAACACAUGCCAGUCGAACGGAAAGGCCCUGCUUUUGUGGGGUGCUCGAGUGGCGAACGGGUGAGUAACACGUGAGUAACCUGCCCUUGACUUUGGGAUAACUUCAGGAAACUGGGGCUAAUACCGGAUAGGAGCUCCUGCUGCAUGGUGGGGGUUGGAAAGUUUCGGCGGUUGGGGAUGGACUCGCGGCUUAUCAGCUUGUUGGUGGGGUAGUGGCUUACCAAGGCUUUGACGGGUAGCCGGCCUGCGAGGGUGACCGGCCACAUUGGGACUGAGAUACGGCCCAGACUCCUACGGGAGGCAGCAGUGGGGAAUAUUGCACAAUGGGCGGAAGCCUGAUGCAGCAACGCCGCGUGCGGGAUGACGGCCUUCGGGUUGUAAACCGCUUUCGCCUGUGACGAAGCGUGAGUGACGGUAAUGGGUAAAGAAGCACCGGCUAACUACGUG